rnacentral:rRNA from 1 species
CGGACGGGUGAGUAACACGUGGAUAACCUACCUAUAAGACUGGGAUAACUUCGGGAAACCGGAGCUAAUACCGGAUAAUAUAUUGAACCGCAUGGUUCAAUAGUGAAAGAUGGUUUUGCUGUCACUUAUAGAUGGAUCCGCGCCGCAUUAGCUAGUUGGUAAGGUAACGGCUUACCAAGGCAACGAUGCGUAGCCGACCUGAGAGGGUGAUCGGCCACACUGGAACUGAGACACGGUCCAGACUCCUACGGGAGGCAGCAGAC